AGAGAUCGCCAUGAUGGGGAAGAAGGAAGAGGAGACCUAAAGGCCAGCUGACAUGUGAGAAUCAGGGAAAGUGGCCACACGGGCCACUUCCACAGCUGUGUUUGAGAGCCACCUAGAACAUGGAUGCAAGCUGGAACUUUGACGUUGUCUUGGGGAUAAAAGUUAAACAAAGAAGUGGAUUCUUCAGUCCUGACGCGUAAGUCACUGAGAGGAUGAGCUCGUUCCCUCUCCUGAAAGACAUCUUCCUGUUACAGCAGCCAGCUUUGCCAGCUCCCUGAACGUUCUGCUGCCUCCUUGCCCAGAACAGAACCUUACUCUUCCUUUUCAGGUCCCCAAGACAUACCCUUUCCUCCAUAACUAGCAUACAGCUUCUCGCCCUUCUCUUGAGAGAGCAAUGGGCAUUGGGUUUUUGUAUUUUCCUCUCUACUCCUGAUGAAAGGUACCGAAGCCAGGUAGCAAAUUAUUGUGACACAGUAUUUUGCUUUCUGACUAGAGUUGUCCAUGCUUCCUGAGAGCUGUCCUCUCAAAUGGGCUGCCAAUUUCAGCUCAUAUUCCAAGAAAAUCUGAGAACCCAGAAUCAAACCAAAAAGAGUCAGAAAAUACCGGUUACUGCUCUAGACCUGAAAGGCAGACAACAUGGAGGUCUUUCAAAACCAACAGCAGCCACAAAGCUAAUCAAGGCUCCAGGUUGAACUGUCACACUCAAGGCGACGAAAAGUCACCAAAGCCAUCAGGACUCUGAUCUCAGGUUCCUCUCCCAGGCAUUGGAUUCACAGCCCUGAGGAUUUUUCCUUCCAUUGGUUAGAGGCAGACAUGUUUGUGGUGUGGCUACACCGAUGUUCCCAUUUUAUAGGCAAAGCCAUCAUUCCUGACUCCGGAUAUAUAUUGAUUUUUUUUCUUUAUAAUGGCGGAAAGUAGGUUGGGCUUUCCCAACUUCAAGACUCACCUUUACACUGGAAAUCCAAAGACACUGACUUGCAUGAUCGAAUGUGUUGGGAAUGUUUUGGUGCUGGCUUCUUUGUUUGCUCAAAUCAUAAAGCUGACAGUUUCCCUGACCUGUGACCAUUGUGAACCUUCACAGCUCCCAGACUGUACUGACAGCUUUUGUUGUCUGAGCAGCCGGAAUUGUUGGUGUCCAGGAACCUUAUUCCUGCGACACUGUAUAGUAAGUUGGGGAUUUUAUUUGGUACAUGAAAGGAAAAAAAACUCGAUUUGUGAGUCAAGCAUUAAAAAGUAUGUUCACGAAAAAUCUUUGACACAU
rnacentral:lncRNA from 1 species